UACAGAGGUCCCAAGCGUUGUUCGGAUUCACUGGGCGUAAAGGGUGCGUAGGCGGGUCUUUUAAGUCAGGGGUGAAAUCCUGGAGCUCAACUCCAGAACUGCCUUUGAUACUGAAGAUCUUGAGUUCGGGAGAGGUGAGUGGAACUGCGAGUGUAGAGGUGAAAUUCGUAGAUAUUCGCAAGAACACCAGUGGCGAAGGCGGCUCACUGGCCCGAUACUGACGCUGAGGCACGAAAGCGUGGGGAGCAAACAGG
rnacentral:rRNA from 1 species